GUGUGUGUGUGUGUGUGUGUGUGUGUGUGUGCGCGCGCAUGUGCACACACAUGCACA
rnacentral:miRNA from 1 species